rnacentral:sRNA from 1 species
GCCAGGCACAGUGGUGCAUGCCUAUAAUCCCAGCAAUUUGGGAGGCUGAGGCAAGAGGAUUGUGAGUUUAAAUCCAUCCUCAGCAGAUUAGUGAGGUAGUUAGCAAACUCAGCAAGACCCUGUCUCUA